AGCGUUGUCCGGAAUCAUUGGGCGUAAAGCGCGCGUAGGCGGCCCUGUAAGUCCGCUGUGAAAGUCAAAGGCUCAACCUUUGAAAGCCGGUGGAUACUGCAGGGCUAGAGUCCGGAAGAGGCGAGUGGAAUUCCUGGUGUAGCGGUGGAAUGCGCAGAUAUCAGGAGGAACACCAAUAGCGAAGGCAGCUCGCUGGGACGGUACUGACGCUAAGGCGCGAAAGCGUGGGGAGCGAACAGG
rnacentral:rRNA from 1 species